rnacentral:rRNA from 1 species
UGGGGAAUAUUGGACAAUGGGCGAAAGCCUGAUCCAGCCAUGCCGCGUGUGUGAAGAAGGCCUUUUGGUUGUAAAGCACUUUAAGCGAGGAGGAGGCUACUAGUACUAAUACUACUGGAUAGUGGACGUUACUCGCAGAAUAAGCACCGGCUAACUCUGUGCCAGCAGCCGCGGUAAUACAGAGGGUGCGAGCGUUAAUCGGAUUUACUGGGCGUAAAGCGUGCGUAGGCGGCUGAUUAAGUCGGAUGUGAAAUCCCUGAGCUUAACUUGGGAAGUGCAUUCGAUACUGGUUAGCUAGAGUGUGGGAGAGGAUGGUAGAAUUCCAGGUGUAGCGGUGAAAUGCGUAGAGAUCUGGAGGAAUACCGAUGGCGAAGGCAGCCAUCUGGCCUAACACUGACGCUGAGGUACGAAAGCAUGGGGAGCAAACAGG